rnacentral:rRNA from 1 species
AAGGAUCAUUAAUGAAACUUCAAAGUCGGCCAAAGGUUGUUGCUGGUGAUUAUUCACAUGUGCACGCCUUUGGUCGCAAAUCCACACACACCUGUGCAUCUAUGACUCGARGUUGUAAUGACUGAGAGUAACUUUUACACACUCUUGUAUGUAAYGGAAUGUCUUUUUGUGCUAUAAUGUACAAUAUAAACAACUUUCAACAACGGAUCUCUUGGCUCUCGCAUCGAUGAAGAACGCAGCGAAAUGCGAUAAGUAAUGUGAAUUGCAGAAUUCAGUGAAUCAUCGAAUCUUUGAACGCACCUUGCACCCUUUGGUAUUCCGAAGGGUACGCCCGUUUGAGUGUCAUUGUAAUCUCACUUCUACAACUUUAUUGUUGUUUGAAUGUGGACUUGGAUGUUGCCGUUUUAUCACGGCUCGUCUCAAAUGCCUGAGUGUACCCUGUUUUGCAGCGUAUCCAGUGUAAUAAACAUUUCACUAGAGUUGGUCGAAAGACCRCGUUGACUAUAUGGGCUCUAUGCUUCAAACCGUCUGCUAUGURGACAAUUUCUUGACAAUUUGACCUCAAAUCGGGUGGGACUACCCGCUGAACUUAAGCAUAUCAAUAAGCGGAGGAAAAGAAACUAACAAGGAUUCCCCUAGUAACGGCGAGUGAAGAGGGAAAAGCUCAAAUUUUAAAUCUGGUGUCUUUGACUCCCGAGUUGUAAUCUAGAGAAGUGUUUUCCGUGUCGGACCGUGUACAAGUUCCCUGGAACGGGGCGUCAUAGAGGGUGAGAAUCCCGUAUAUGCCACGGACUACCGAUGCUCUGUGAUACACUCUCAACGAGUCGAGUUGUUUGGGAAUGCAGCUCAAAAUGGGUGGUAAAUUCCAUCUAAAGCUAAAUAUUGGCGAGAGACCGAUAGCGAACAAGUACCGUGAGGGAAAGAUGAAAAGCACUUUGGAAAGAGAGUGAAACAGUACGUGAAAUUGUUGAAAGGGAAGCGUUUGAAGUCAGUCGCAUCUGUUGGGGUUCAGCCUGGCUUUUGCCUGGUGUAUUUCCUUUCCGAUGGGUCAGCAUCAGUUYYGACCGAGGGAAAAAGACAUUUGGAAUGUGGCUGUCUUCGGGCAGUGUUAUAGCCUUGUGUUGUAUGUCUCGGUUGGGACUGAGGAUUGCAGCGCGCCAUAAAUGGCCGGGGGUCGCUCCUCUCGACACGCGCUUAGGA